rnacentral:rRNA from 1 species
UACGUAGGGGGCAAGCGUUGUCCGGAAUCAUUGGGCGUAAAGAGCGUGUAGGCGGCCCGGUAAGUCCGCUGUGAAAGUCCAGGGCUCAACCCUGGGAUGCCGGUGGAUACUGUCGGGCUCGAGUCCGGAAGAGGUGAGUGGAAUUCCUGGUGUAGCGGUGAAAUGCGCAGAUAUCAGGAGGAACACCAAUGGCGAAGGCAGCUCACUGGGACGGUAUUGACGCUGAGACGCGAAAGCGUGGGGAGCAAACAGG